rnacentral:rRNA from 1 species
UACGUAGGGUGCAAGCGUUGUCCGGAAUUAUUGGGCGUAAAGAGCUCGUAGGCGGUCUGUCGCGUCUGCUGUGAAAACUCGGGGCUUAACCCCGGGCCUGCAGUGGGUACGGGCAGACUAGAGUGCGGUAGGGGAGACUGGAAUUCCUGGUGUAGCGGUGAAAUGCGCAGAUAUCAGGAGGAACACCGGUGGCGAAGGCGGGUCUCUGGGCCGUAACUGACGCUGAGACACGAAAGCGUGGGUAGCAAACAGG